rnacentral:rRNA from 1 species
AUUGAACGCUGGCGGCAGGCCUAACACAUGCAAGUCGAGCGGAUGAAGGGAGCUUGCUCCUGGAUUCAGCGGCGGACGGGUGAGUAAUGCCUAGGAAUCUGCCUGGUAGUGGGGGAUAACGUCCGGAAACGGGCGCUAAUACCGCAUACGUCCUGAGGGAGAAAGGGGGGGAUCUUCGGACCUCACGCUAUCAGAUGAGCCUAGGUCGGAUUAGCUAGUUGGUGGGGUAAAGGCCUACCAAGGCGACGAUCCGUAACUGGUCUGAGAGGAUGAUCAGUCACACUGGAACUGAGACACGGUCCAGACUCCUACGGGAGGCAGCAGUGGGGAAUAUUGGAAAAUGGGCGAAAGCCUGAUCCAGCCAUGCCGCGUGUGUGAAGAAGGACUUCGGAUUGUAAAGCACUUUAAGUUGGGAGGAAGGGAAGUAAGUUAAUACCUUGCUGUUUUGACGUUACCAACAGAAUAAGCACCGGCUAACUUCGU